rnacentral:rRNA from 1 species
UCCGGAGGGGGCUAGCGUUGUUCGGAAUUACUGGGCGUAAAGCGCACGUAGGCGGCUUUGUAAGUUAGAGGUGAAAGCCCGGGGCUCAACUCCGGAAUUGCCUUUAAGACUGCAUCGCUAGAAUUGUGGAGAGGUAAGUGGAAUUCCAGGUGUAGCGGUGAAAUGCGUAGAUAUCUGGAGGAACACCGGUGGCGAAGGCGGCAUCCUGGACCGGUAUUGACGCUGAGGCGCGAAAGCUAGGGGAGCAAACGGG